rnacentral:snoRNA from 1 species
GUGAAAUGAUGAUGAAGUUUAUCCAUUCUCUGAGUACUGCUGCACUGCCCUCCCUGCAGCACCUAGAUUCCUGUUCUAGGGUCUCUGUGCUGUGCAGUCUCCAAAUACCCUCCAGCCUUUCAGUGUUCUACUGGGGGCUGCUUGAGGGUGUGGCUGGCUGCCUGCAGGAGCGGGACAGAGCCAGCAGAGCUGGAGCCCCUCUCCGUGGGGGCUCCAUCUCAACCAAGACGAGUGAUGCUCUCUGAUCAC